UACGGAGGGGGCUAGCGUUGUUCGGAAUUACUGGGCGUAAAGCGCGCGUAGGCGGCUUUGUAAGUUAGAGGUGAAAGCCCGGAGCUCAACUCCGGAAUUGCCUUUAAGACUGCAUCGCUAGAAUCAUGGAGAGGUUAGUGGAAUUCCGAGUGUAGAGGUGAAAUUCGUAGAUAUUCGCAAGAACACCAGUGGCGAAGGCGGCUCACUGGCCCGAUACUGACGCUGAGGUGCGAAAGCGUGGGGGAGCAAACAGG
rnacentral:rRNA from 1 species